CAAGAAAACUGGAAAGGAAAACAAAAUAAUUCAUCAACAGUGGAUUUUACAUGGUACAGGGAAGAAUAUGGAAUAAUUAAUUGUUAUAAAAUCUCAAAGAGCAGCACAUUUCAGGAUGAUCCACUGGUAGAAACUUCCUCCAGUUGUUUAUUCAGGAUUUUCAAUACCUGUCAAGCACUGCUUCCACCAGGCCCAAAAUGAUAGACGAACAACCUAAAUAUUUUAGUGGAAAAGAACUUGCACUUCGGAGAAUGUGGGAAUUUUUGAUGAGGAACAAAUUCUUCCUGUAGGUCAGGUAGCACCAGCCUCCUCAGAAGCUAAUGCAGAGGUUCCAGAACCUUCACAAAUGAAGGCCACGCUGAGAUGUUGAGAGAAGAAAUAGAACCACAAUUAACAGGUGGCUAACCUACAUUCCCCUUUGGUGGAGAUAACAGCCUGAUGUAAUGCUUUAUUCCUAUAGGAUUGGGAAGAAGAGGACUGUGACAAAGUGGCUUACUAGUGAUGCCUCCUUAAUUCUUCGCAGUGCUUCAUGGAUGCUGCGUGUUAAAGGGUCAGUGUCAGGCAGAAUUGUAAAAGACUCUCUCAGAACAUCUUUCUGCACCUUCUUCAGUUUCACCCCUUUUCUUAUCUGUGCCAAGAUGUUAUUGCUGUCAUCUUCAUCAGGGAAAGGAGGGAGAUUUCUCUGCUCAACUUUUCUUAGGUGAAAACUACCACGCUUCAAGGAAGCCAGCACCUCAUCCAUUGGGGAACUCACUGCAGCAAAUCAAAAGACUGAGUGACACCUGUAAGUGUCUUCAGGGUCGGCCUAGAUCAAAUAGCACCCCAGGUGAGGAGUAUCUUCAGCAUCCUCCCCUCCACUUGUUUACCCACAAGGGCACAACUGACAACAUUCUAGGCGGUUCAAGGAAAAUAUCGUUCUCAGGAAGUCUGCAAGGUUCCACAAGAUUCUAAAAAGGUCCAGAACAUUCUAGGAGCAAUCUGUGGUGGUUUAUUCAAAGCUGCCAACACCAACUGGGUUGAUGGAAAGAAAAAGGAUACACAGAGGUGGCAGGGUGAGACAGAUAAAGGCAGAGGUGGCGGCGGCGGCGGCGGCGGCGGCGGCAAAGGAGGCGGAAGUGGAACUACAGUAACAGUAUCUGGUUGAAGCUCAUUACUGGGAAGAAGAGGAGGAGUAGUAUGAUGAGAAAGUUCAGAGAUCCAAUAGAUCAUCUAAGAUGACAAAGUGACACUGAUGCAGGCAGGAGGCAGCAAUGACACCAUCAGUGGAAGAAUCUCUUCCAUUUCUGCAGUAUCAGUGGUGUUGGAGGAAAUGCAUAGAACAGACCCUUCUUCCAAAAAAAGGCAUCUCCCAAGGAGUGGUGGCCCAGACACCUGCUUGAGCAGAAAAGUGGACACCACCUGUUCUUGGAGGAGGUAUUGAGAUCCAUCUCUGGCAGUCCUUAUUUUAGGAAUAUGCUGUGGAGAACUUGAGUGUUCCAUAUGUAAUCCUGUGAAAAGUGUCUGUUGAGGAUAUCAACUGUGGCAUUCUGAAUAUGUGGGGAGGCAGAGUGCUAAAAUUUGGAUCUGAUGAGCUACACACCAAUUCCAUAGUUUCAUGACAAGAUUAUGAAUCUAAGAGAUGCUGCAGACCCAACUCCUGGAACAGGCAAGGACGGUCUGGGAGGAAGAUAGCACCACUUCAUAGGAGCGGCUCUUGAAUAGCCAGUCAUCGAAGUAUAGGACAUUUCUUGUCAGAUAUAAACAGCUGCUACUGCCAGGACUUUUGACAACACCACUGGGGCUGAGGAAAGACCAAAGGGAAGCGCUCAGGAGUAGAAAUGAUCCUGACCUAUAGUGAACUGUGUAUGUAUACCCAGGGAUCAUAAAACAGUCCUAGAGUCCUUUAGCAUGCACAAGGAGUCACCCAUGGUUUCCAAGAACAGUUUACAACCAAAGGCAAGAUCCUCCACAGCGGUCUGUACUUCCCUCAGAUGCCCUGCUCAUAACCACAGCUGUGGAGAUGGACCUGGCAGUAGUGUCUGCAGCACACCAACAUGCUUGACAGGCAGUUCUGACCACCAAGUGGCCCUCAGAUGAUGGACUGGAAUUGCUCCCUAUGUUCUUGUGGCAGAAAUUCAAUAAAAACUGUGAAUCUGU